rnacentral:rRNA from 1 species
UACAGAGGUCUCAAGCGUUGUUCGGAUUCAUUGGGCGUAAAGGGUGCGUAGGUGGCGCUGUAAGUCGGGUGUGAAAUUUCGGAGCUUAACUCCGAAACUGCAUUCGAUACUGCGGUGCUUGAGGACUGGAGAGGAGACUGGAAUUCAUGGUGUAGCAGUGAAAUGCGUAGAGAUCAGGAGGAACACCGGUGGCGAAGGCGGCUUCCUGGACACUAACUGACGCUGAGACGCGAAAGCGUGGGGAGCAAACAGG